AUGAUACUCCCUCCGUCCCAAAAUUCUUGUCUUAGAUUUGUCUAGAUACAGAUGUAUCUAAUACUAAAACGUGACUUGAUACAUCCGUAUUUAGCCAAAUCUAAGACAAGAAUUUUAGGACGGAGGGUGUACUAA
rfam:Triticum aestivum genome assembly, contig: Triticum_aestivum_CS42_TGACv1_scaffold_177422_2DS